ACACUGUAAAAAGUGCUACACCCACACAGUAGGUUUUAUAUAUUUUAAAUAGUUGUAAUCUAGUUUAUUUUAUUUGUUUUAUACUAAAAAGUAUAAAUAUACUUCCUCUUUACUUAAAAUAUAUCACUUUUUACAUAACAAUAUAUUUUAAGUAAAACAAUAGCAAUUUAUUUGGGUAGCUUUUUGUAUGAGUUUGUUGUGUACAAGAAAUGUUAUAAAAGUGAGUUGAAAUACACAAUUUAUUUGAGCAACUGUCGAUUUGGCAUGUGUGUUCAUCAAACUUAAAUAUUUGAAAUAAAAAACACAUAAAAAUUAAGUUGGAUUUAUCCCUUUUUCACUGGCGGGGACUUUCCAAGGCAGAUGCUUCCUCGGCACUUCAACUGUUUGAAAGCUGCAGCGGAUCUAAAUUUCACAGACUGAUUAACACGUCUCCGGUGGGGCAUGCAGCUGUCGUGGGGUCCUCGUGUUAUCAGCAGCAGAGUUGUAACCAAGCGUUUUUGUUACCUGGGGUCUUCAGAUACAGGAUCCGUCUGGCUAUGUGGAGAAAAGGAGAGAAGUGGUACUGAGAUGCCUGAUUGAGUACAUAUGGGAGGGAAAGGAAGACCUCAUCAGUGUCCACCAUAGUCAUGAUGAAACAGAGGUGCACGCUGAGCUUGGAAGUUCCCCACUGAAAAUAUACAUGCCCCAUCAGCCAAACACGAUUGGGAUUAUCACAGUUGAAGG